rnacentral:rRNA from 1 species
GAUGAACGCUGGCGGCGUGCCUAAUACAUGCAAGUCGAGCGAACGGACGAGAAGCUUGCUUCUCUGAUGUUAGCGGCGGACGGGUGAGUAACACGUGGAUAACCUACCUAUAAGACUGGGAUAACUUCGGGAAACCGGAGCUAAUACCGGAUGAUAUUUUGAACCGCAUGGUUCAAAAGUGAAAGACGGUCUUGCUGUCACUUAUAGAUGGAUCCGCGCUGCAUUAGCUAGUUGGUAAGGUAACGGCUUACCAAGGCAACGAUGCAUAGCCGACCUGAGAGGGUGAUCGGCCACACUGGAACUGAGACACGGUCCAGACUCCUACGGGAGGCAGCAGUAGGGAAUCUUCCGCAAUGGGCGAAAGCCUGACGGAGCAACGCCGCGGGAGUGAUGAAGGUCUUCGGAUCGUAAACUCUGUUAUUAGGGAAGAACAUAUGUGUAAGUAACUGUGCACAUCUUGACGGUACCUAAUCAGAAAGCCACGGCUAACUACGUG